UUUGUAGGAAUUACCCUACACGAGUACCAUGCACAAAGGAAUAUAGACCUGUCUGUGGCACUGACAACGUAACAUAUCCCAAAGUUUGUGUGCUGUGUAGGAAGAAUGCAUGUAGAAACAUUGGCAUUAGAAUGAGAGGACCUUGCCUUGGGGCCUAAACCUGUACCCCAUCUGCCAAAGAAGGAAAGAGUGGGUCUUCUGGAUGUCAUUGUUGAAGACAUGCAGUGUUUGAAAAUAUUCUGUUGAUUCAUCUCCAGAUUUUAUAGUCAAUAAAAACAAAAGCAUUG